rnacentral:rRNA from 1 species
AUUGAACGCUGGCGGCAGGCCUAACACAUGCAAGUCGAACGAGUGGCGGACGGGUGAGUAAUGUCUGGGCAACUGCCUGCUGGAGGGGGAUAACUACUGGAAACGGUAGCUAAUACCGCAUACCAUCAGAUGUGCCCAGAUGGGAUUAGCUUGUUGGUGGGGUAACGGCUCACCAAGGCGACGAUCCCUAGCUGGUCUGAGAGGAUGACGCAGCACACUUGAAAUGAGACAAGGGUCCAAAUCCUAAGGGAGGCAGGAGUGGGGAAAAUUGGACAAUGGGCGGAAGGCUGGUGCAGCCAUGGCGCGGGUAUGAAGAAGGCCAUCGGGUUGUAAAGUACUUUCAGGGGGGAAGCGUUACCCGAAGAAGAAGCACCGGCUAACUCCGUGCCAGCAGACGCGGUAAUAC